GAAUCGAUUAUAUCCCGCCACUAUAUAAGAAACUAAUUUAAUGAUAACCGCCAUUUUCCUCUGUUAUGCUGAAUGAUGAAUUUCAUUGAAAUUAGUGAAUAUAUGCGCAGGAGUGGCUGUGUGCAGGUUCUUCUGGUCAAGCUAUCGUAUCUUCAGCUGCUUCAGAUGCCAAGAAAUGAAAAAUUGUCAAUGUGUAGUACAAUGGUUUUGCUAAGAAGUGGUAGCCUGUCGAUAUCACUAUUCUUGAGGAAAUUUUCAGUUGAUAUCAGAAUCUUGCGGGUCUUAAUGUCUAUGGAGUAAAUUUUUUCUACAGACCAGUC